CAGGCUGGCAAGUGGGGGACUGACUUAACUCCUGAAGCAUUUGAGCUUUCUGAAAGAUUAAAUGGCCAGGAGCAUGCCCACAGAUCCUCCACGGUGUUCUUUGUCAAGAUAUCCGUGUGACCAGACGUCUACGACUGAUGGUACCAGAGAUGGAAUUCAGGACCUCGUGCUGGCCAGGCAGGUGCUGCACCCCUGAGCUACAUCCCCGGCUCACUACAGGAACUUUUGCAUACAGUUCUAGACACAGCUGGACAAAUGAAUGCCAUCAAAUUCCCCCAACUAGUGUUAAUUACUCCUCCUUAUGAGGUAAAUGUGAACGUUCCCCAAAGAUUCAUGCAUCAAAGGCUUGAUUUCCAGUGCAGCCAUCUUCAGAGGUGGUUGGAUCAUGAAAGUGUUGCUCUCCUCCGGGGACCAUUUCAUAGUUGAGUGGGAACCAGCUGGAAGAAGGAGAUCACUGAGGGUGCACCACAGGCCUCCUCUCUCUCUCUCUCUCUCUGACGUUUUCCCUCACUGGUUCCUGACCAUCACGAGGAAUUUAAAAUGCUGAUUACAGGAAGAAAACAGGACUUGACUACUUUGACUAAAUGAAGAAUUGACUGCUUCCACAUGGGUUAUCAGUUGUACAACCUACAAGGAUAAAGGACUAACUUUCUGUGAGUUAUGUAUUCUAAUGCCUUUAGGUUUAUGAAGGUGACUUGGCUGUAAAUGUUUCAAGUAAAAUUUAGUUAUUUUCAUUCAUUUUAGAGGACUAUGUGCAGUAUGCUUUUAUUCUAAAUGAAUAUACUUUUAUGAACAUAACGAUUUCAUAAUGAUCAUACAUCUUAAGUUACUUUUACUUUAGACUAUUUGGAAUAUAAACUGCUUAUUACUUGGGUUGAACAUAAUUGAAAAGCAGAUGUUUUAUUAAACAACAAAAUAUUCUUGCAAUACAUUUCAAAGCCUGUUUAAAUCAGGCUUCAAUAAUGUACUUUAUCUUCAUAUAAAAUUGAGACAUGAUUAUAUUAAGUAUUAGAAAAGUGUUCCAGGUAGCUAAUGUUUUUAAAAAAUUACAUAUUACCAUAUCUCAGUGUGAAAACUUCCAGUUGUUAAAAUUGACUUUAAAAAACGUAACUUACAUACUUGAAGCAUGUUGAAUAGUAUACAUGAAAGAUAAAUGGUAAUAAGUAUAUUUAUACAAUGAUAAUCAACAAUUGAGUCAUGAGUUACACUAAUGAAAUUUAAACUAUGUCUCUUUUUAUCUAUAGAAAUAUUUUAUACUACUAAUUAGGGAUCAUCAGGAGUUUGAAUCUCUUAUUACGUGCUAUCUGUGUAACCUUGAGCAAAUUUCUUGUCCUGUGGGGACCUCAAUGUCCUUAGCUGUAAAACAAUUCUUACAAUAACAGGUCUAUUCCAGGUUCAACUAGAUAAUGUACAUUAAAUACUUUGUAGUAUCUGGUGUAUAGAAGAGAAUCCAAGUUUCUACCAGAAUGUUUAUUCCUGCUUUUUGAAAUUCACAUAAUAAAAUGUUAUACUUUAAGAAGUAAUGGAAAGGACUGGAUAAAACUAUUAAAAAUGACUGAUUUUUUAGGUUAUGUCAACCUCAAAUAAACAUCUCUGCAUUUGAAUUGCUAUCUGUCCUUGUGUUGCCACUUCAAAGUCAUUAUGAAAACAAAGUUGAGAGUCACUUUUAACCUAGUCUAACUCGAAUGUCAAUGUUGGAUUGCUUUAGCAGAAACAAAACAAAUAAGUAAUGGGAAAAGUGAGAAAAUGAAUGCAUUGAGUGAUGGAAAUGGGACUUUCAUGUAUACAGCUUAAAGAUACAUUCACAAAAAUUUAUAUCCUAAUUGUGUGCUUUAAAUGGAGAAAGUUAUUAAAUAAAUCCAAAUGUCUUUGUUGUUUUUCAGUUAUUAAUCAUAUAUUUAGUUUUGCUUCCCAUAUGUUUUGACACAGUAUCUUCAAUA